CUCGGCCUCCUCGCUCACUGCACAGGCUCCGUGGCCUCCUAUGUGCUCACUCAGCCCCCAUCAGUGGCAGUGAACCUGGGACAGAUGGCCAGGAUCACGUGUGGAGGAAACAACAUUGGAAGUUAUUAUGCUUACUGGUACCAGCAGAAGUCAGGCCAGGCUCCUGUGCUGAUUAUCUAUGAGGACAGCAAACGGCCCUCAGGGAUCCCUGACCGAUUCUCAGGCACCAACUCGGGGAACACAGCCACCCUGACCAUCAGCGGGGCCCAGGCCGAGGACGAGGCUGACUAUUACUGUCAGUCAUAUGAGAGCAACUAUGAUCUUCACAGUGACACAGGCAGAUGGGGAAGUGAGACACAAACCCCUUCU